rnacentral:rRNA from 1 species
UACGUAGGGGGCGAGCGUUGUCCGGAAUUACUGGGCGUAAAGGGUGCGUAGGUGGCCUUUUAAGUUGGAUGUGAAAUACCCGGGCUUAACCUGGGGGGUGCAUCUAAUACUGGAAGGCUAGAGUGCAGGAGAGGAAAGCGGAAUUCCUAGUGUAGCGGUGAAAUGCGUAGAUAUUAGGAGGAACACCAGUGGCGAAGGCGGCUUUCUGGACUGUAACUGACACUGAGGCACGAAAGCGUGGGGAGCAAACAGGAUUAGAAA